ACAUGAGCAUUGAGCUGCUAGUGUUUUUACUUGACUGUUGGAAAUUCACUAGACUGUGAUUCAGCUGCUGUAAUUAAAAAUGAUAUAUUAACCAAAGGUUAACAUACAUAAAUGUGAAUGAAUAUAAGCAGUAGCAGAAAGCGUUGUUGUUGUUCGACGUCAAAACACGUGGUUCGUUUAAUAUGUAAAAAUUACAUUUAUCUGGAAGAGACUUUAAGUUCCGUCCUUGUUAUCUUUGAUAAUACAAGACUUUUGAAAUGUCUUGAAUUUGCUUUAUGUAAAGGGGCUUUAUGUAUGAUCUUGCUAUUGCUACUAUCAACAUGCUACUAGCCGGCUAGCCCCGGGCCAGGCCGAAAGCGGGUCGCCGUUGCGUUCAGGCUGUCCAGGUGAACAGAUGCAGGUAUUUGCUGAGUUAAAUAGUAUCUCCAAGAAUCUUCAAGGCGUCUUCUUUGAGGCUCUGGACCAGCACAUUCCACAUUUCAUGGAACUCUUCAAGUAAAAAAAAAAGAUCUGUUGGACAGAAGUUGGAUCGAGUUAAUGCAGCCCGUCAACUGGACGUGACUGCAGUACAUUUCCAUUGUAGUCGGCAACGAUGCCAAUGAAUUCUACAAGACAUGCUUUGAUAUGACGAGAGACGAGGCCCUAGAAUCCGUCACAGUUGGUCUGCCAGCUGUUCUGAGUGAAGAUGGUUCUGAGCAGGGUCCAAGUUGAAUACACCUCCAGCCCAUCUCCACUGUCGUUGUCCUUGAUGGAGGGGUCCGGAUCUCGACGACAUGAACGAUUACACACGUUUAAUGUAAUUACACACACGUAGUGUUUGUGUUCCUGGUUGCAGAGACGAUCCUACGGAUGAUCCACUGGCCAGCGCGCAAAGAUGGGUGAUGUGCCUGCACACAAACACGCACCUAUACAGAAUAUAACACAAUGUUCUCCUCCCUUUCUGUGCCAAUUAUAAAUUUGUUUGCACAAAUGUACAUUAACACUAAAUUUACAAAAUAUUAGAAACGUCUCACUGACUCUAACAAGACCCUUUUACACAAUCUCUCACCCAUUUAUCUUAUAUCUUAAAAAAUAUCUAAGCAACCCAUUUUUUUUCAUCUACAUCUGCGUGGAUAUAGACUGAAUUUAUAUUUAUGAAAGAAUGCCAUUUACUCAUCAUCCUCGUGCUUCGUGAAAAUAGGGAAGACGUUCACUCUUUCUGACGACCCUGACAAAACUUUCAGCACCACUUUUUGAUGAAAAGUAAAGAGCCCACUGGAAAGAAUUAAUUUGACUGUUUUAAAAAUGAACACAUACAUGUCUGUUAACUGCAUUUGUUAAAAGUCAAAGCUGGUGAAAGGAUUUUGCUAAAUACAUUAUGAUGGACAAUCACAAAUACAAGUGAAACUGAAUCCAAUAAUCUAACUGUCUCAUUUGAAAGAAAACCACCUUGUAUGUGAAGUUUGUGUGACUGAGAUUUGACAAAGUGAUACUAAGACGUGUGAAGCUGUGUGUGUUUGCAGGCCUCUCUCCUCCCCCAGUGAUUUCACUUAAUGCAUUAAUGUGCUCUGAAUGACAAUCAGGCGCUGAGCUUGAACUUGACCGAUGGAAUUGCCUGGGAAAAGAGGCGCGACUUUGGCCCUUUGCUCCUCUCCUUUAUGAAGAGGGGGCUGCUAAGACUGAUGUCAGCGCUCAUUUGCAUAAACCUCAGCCUGUUCCCAAUUAAACCAGGAAAGCAGCAAGAGCACCAGUCUGUUUUCACAUGGCCGCCAAUGGACCAACACCUCCGACGGAGAGGACGGAGCAGAAGUGGCUGCUGAAACGAAUGUGCGGAGUGAGGGCAGAAGUACAGUCACGUACACACACACACACACAAAGUCCAUGUCUGAGCCUGCAGGGCAAGAGGUCAGCAGACACACACACACACACACACACACACACAGUCCAACUCCUGGCUCGAAGGAACCAAAGUCACCCACUGGGUCAGAGAGAGGCUUCGUUUCUCCAGAGUUACAGUGGCAGGAAGAGGAGGAGGAGGCAGUGGAGGAGGAAAAAGAGAGAGCAGAGUGGGUGGAAGGAUGGAAGGAAGGAGAGAAGGAUAGAAGCAGUUCGAGGAGGUGGUUCGAAGCGGGUGAACCCAGAGCAGGUGAACACAGCUGUGGAUCGCCAUGGGCUCUCUGGCUGCCUUCCUCCUGUGGCCCCGGCGCUGCAUGCAGGGGUCCCGGGGAGACGGCAGGGGCCAGCCAAAGCUGCGGCAGAGUGGGCACGCUAGGCCAUCCAAGCCAGGAGAGAGGCAGGUGAGGCGGGUGAGCCGAAAACUCAUCCCCGCCGGCUAGGAGCCUCCACGGCAGAGCGGAGCAGCAGAAAUCAAUACAGAGGAGAGAGGCUAGCAGAGGUUGCCCAUCACCGCCUGCAGGCCUCGGAGCCCAGGGACCAACCACCACCACUGCUCCCAGCUCCUCUCUCCGCUUCUCUUUCUAUCUCUCUCCAACAGUCUCAGCAUCAGCCAGGGCCAGAGUCCUAACCUUACAACCACCCCACACACAGUGUGUGUGUGUGUGUGUGUGUGUGUGUGUGUGUGUGUGUGUGUGUGUGUGUGUGUGUGUGUGUGUGUGUGUGUGUGUGUGUGUGUGUGUGUGUGUGUGUGUGUGUGUGUGUGUGUGUGUGUGUGUGUGUCAGUGUGUGCACAUGUGUGUGAAACACAGAGAAAAAGGGAGAGCGAAGAGACACAGAGAGAGAGAGAGUCUUUGUGUGUGGUUCCGCUGGAGGGGUUUCUGCUGCGUCCAACACCACUUCAUAAAACUUUGUCAGAGAGACAUGGAGACAGCAAGGGAGGGAGAGAAAUGGAAGAAGAAUAAGCAUGUCGACAGCUCGUCGAAGGUUCCGUUUCUUCCAGCUCCCUCCCUCCUAUUAGUCAUUCCACCUUAACUGUUUGAAUAAGGAUCCGUGUGAGCGCCUGGCACACAGGACGUCCCUGCUCAGUCGCACUUUUCAAGCACUCAACGCUCGUAAGAUCUCGCGAGCCGGGAUGAAAGGACAAUUUGAACUUUCUCUCUCAUCCACUGUAUCAGACACAGCCUGUCUUUUCGCCUUAGAUUUCCUCGCCCAUGACUACAGCAGCUCCCAUCAGAGGAUAUGGCAGCGCAGUAUUGAUCUUUAGCGUGGUGGAGAGGAAGGUGGGUCUGGGUUUUCAUACAUCUCUCGCUCUCAAUGCGUGUGGAAAUAGCACCUGAAGUCCACUUACUGCUGUGCGGCGAGGAUCCCAUGGCAGCACAAGUGAAUGGCUGCUAAUUGAAUGAGAGAUAAAAAGGACAGUGGUUGCACCUGUUCGGUGACCUCCUCCUCCUCAUCCUCCUCCUCCUCCUCCUCAGUUUUUUCCAUCUGACUUUUUCCUCCUUCACAUUUACACCAAUCGCUCUCCACACAAAGAAACUGGCUCUUCAGAUGUUUAAACCAAAAACUGCUGGUGACUUGAGAAAAUUGGCUAAAUCCUCAGAAAUGAAAAUACCUGGUUUGGAACCAGUGUAGAGGUAGAAGCCUUCAAAAGAAAACAGGGGAGGAGAAGCACAGUUCUUUUUUUUCUUUUUGACGAACUGAUAGAAGAACUCACCUGAAGUUCUGAGAAGUCACGCCAGAAGACGUGUGGGCCUGGAAGAACAUUACAGGACAGACGGACAGUUUGCCAAACGUACACAGGCUACAACCGGACUUAUACCUCUUGACGCAGCGAGGAAUGCCACGGUGAAAAGCUGCGACCAAGCUUCCAUCAUUGGCCCUGACUCUCCUGCAAAGCACACGUAGCUGAAUUUCUCUGCGCCCGUUCAUCCUAUCGGCCACAUAUGGAAAAUGUCACAUAUGCAAGAGCAGCUGGACUCACAUCUUCAGAGUGUGAUUAUCAGCUGUGCUGUCGGCCGUCUCUGCGGAUGUGGACAGGUAAGUCGGAGCCGCUUCUGACAGGUACGUUUAGAGGUCGAAUCAACUUACGAGCCGUCUGAAGUGAACACUGGGGCUGCCGCGCAAUAUUUUCCAAAUUUAGUUUCAUUAGAUGUGUAUUACUGUGUUUGAGUCCAAUUUUUUAGGUUGGAGAUUGGAUGACAGCCCCAGGAGUCCUUCUUGUUACUGCUGUAAUUUACAUUCAAGUAUUUGACAAGAGUUUGUCGCUGUAGAAUUACUUUCCUCUUUUCUGAGAAAUUGUAUACACUUAUUUUUUCAUAUGCUCGUUUUCAUACUGCAAUGAACUCAAUUUUUAAUCAGUGACAUUGCCAAAUGCCAAAAGUGUUAUUUUAAAAAAAUAAAACGGAACAAUUUGUGAAACA